GGGAAGUACGCUUGCCCUGGAUAGACCAUUUAUCUCGAGUUCAACGGAUAGUGCUGUUGAAACAUCUCAAGAAUGUUACCUUGAAUAUGGUACUGCAACACAGCUAUAUCUGGUGCCCUUUGUUCAGAAUGAGGAGCAAGUAUCCCUAGCACUGACACAGAACCAUAACAAAGGACCAAAACUAUCAAGAGCUUUGGAUCCAAGUCAGGGAUUUGUAGUCUCC
rnacentral:misc_RNA from 1 species